UUUAUUUUUCCGGCCCAAUUCCGUUUUUCCAAAAAAUAUUAACCAUACUUCCCGAAGUGCUAGAGGUCCCAUAUUUCGUGUGAUUGCCUCUCUCACAAUGGGCAACAAGUAGAGAAUGUAAAAAACAAAAUGCCCUGGUAGGAACCUAUGUUUCCAGUAACAUGUACUUUUUUGGCCCAAAAUCGGUAAUUUUCAGAAAAUGAUUAAAAAUACUUCCAGAAGGGCUACAGGUCCCAUCUUUCGUCUCAUUCCCUCUCUCUCAAUGGACAACAAGUAGAGACUGUAAAAUUAAAAAUGCCCUGGUAGGAACCUAUGUUUCCAGUCAAAUGUGCUUGUAUAGCCCAAAAUAUAAACGCGUUUUUCUAUUAAAAGGUUCUAUACAAAAACGCUUUUAAUUACAUGACAUUGCCCGUCUAUGUGUGCCCUUUAGUUUAAAAAAAACCCCAUCCAGAUUGGAUGUGUACUUUUUGAUUUAUUCACGUUUUGGUGUACCGCCAUAUAGCCCAACAUAGUAACCGGACAGUAUGUCAUUUUCGGGUUCCCAGGUGCACGUUUCCAAUAACCAGGUGCACACGGAUGUAUAGGGUCCCCCCAUGGAUAGAGGUCCGUGUUGGGGUGCUCCAUAUCGGGCAUGAAUAUCAGGAACACCGGCAGGUGCACUUAGAACCAUAUUUUAAUUUUUCAGAUUCCCAGGUGCACAGGGAUCCUAAUCCGCAUCCAUCGAAAUCUCACAAAGUGUCCAUAAAUCACUCAGGGAGGGCCCCCAUGGAUACAGGGCCGUAGUAGGAUGCUCCUAUAGUGGGCAUUAAUAUGAGAAUGACCGAAAAGUGCAUUUAGGACCAUAUUAUAAUUUUCGGGUUCCCAGGUGCACGUUUCCAA